rnacentral:rRNA from 1 species
AGGGAAGGCAAAGCAGUGAUGUGGAGCAAAACCCGAAAAGCAGUCUUAGUUCGGAUUGUAGGCUGCAACUCGCCUACAUGAAGUCGGAAUUGCGAGUAAUCGCGGAUCAGCAUGCCGCGGUGAAUACGUUCCCGGGUCUUGUACACACCGCCCGUCACACCAUGGGAGCCGGUAAUACCCGAAGUCAGUAGUCUAACCGCAAGGAGGACGCUGCCGAAGGUAGGAUUGGCGACUGGGGUGAAGUCGUAACAAGGUAUC